CGUCCCCAGAACAUUAUGUUCCCUUUUGGGCGAUAUUCCCCAGAAAGCUCUCAUGGAGGGAAACAGAAAGCAAAGGGCUACCCUUCCGGCCUGUAAGAAGCAGGUCAAAUGGACUCCAGCACAUCCAGAAAAGAUUACAGCUGUACUUUUGUGUUAGGGAAGUAAUGCAAAAACACUCUGAAGGCAGAUGUGUAGGAAGGUACCAGCAAUCGAUGCUCUUGAACAAAGAAGAGACUUCCAGGAUGAGCUAAGAUAUGGAACAAACAACGCUGAUAAAUCCAUCCCCUGCCGCCGCACAGACACGGAUGGCCACUGCUAACACAAACAGACUGCUCGGGAGAGCUGAUGGGCUUGCUUUGAUUAUGCUCGGGAUAAGACUCGGUGCCCUUUGAUCCCGUGAUGUUUUUGGCGCCUGUGUUACUGUCUAGCAGCAGGGUGUAUUUUUCUAUCCCAAGGAGCGAGUGGACGCAGCUGCCUGGUGCUGAUUUAUAGUAGGAAGCGACCGGUAGGAAACCAACAAGUUUCUCACACAGUAAAAUUGCUGUAUUUUCACUUCCACAACCAGUGAAACGAUUCGAGGUCUGGGGGGUUUGGGUGGGGGGCGGAGGCCAGCAAGGCUUUUUCUAUACUUGGCAUGAAUCCCAGCGCAAGGUGAUUCAGAAACGAUGCUCGCAGCCUGCCACCCCUCUCCGUACAUUCGGAUUCAGAGGAGCAGACUGCGUUUGGAUUCAAUCUGGCUCCGGGGAUUUUUCAUUUUAAUGGCUCUGCUUUCUGCAGUGACACGAGCCUGUUCCUAGACUGCACUUUCCUGCAUUAGUCUUUCCGUUGCUCAGGGGUUUCCUUGCCGGCCUUGCAUUUGCAUUGUGCUGGGCUCAGAACGCACGUGUGCAUGUGUACGUGGGCACACGAGAGCCAGUCAGGCCUGGCGCACAGGCUGCAGGGGCCGUCUGAGACAGAGACCGUCUCUUUUAUUACUGCGGCAAGAAAACAGGAACGGAUCCAGAGGAGCAGGCAUGAAAGUCAGCUAUUCAGAGAGGAGAAGGAAGCACGCAGCAGAUGGCAUUUGAAUCCUGUGAUCGCACACAGCAUCCCCGUCACCAAUAAUUAACCCCUUUCUUGCACACGGAGGGACGGCCUGCCACUCAUCUCAGUUCUGUGGUUCCUCAGCCCAGAGACAAGAGGGACGGUACGUAUUGCUAUUAACCUCUGACCUGCCGCAGUUCGCAUGUGCAAAGCAUCUCUCAGACAUGAUAGCAGAGGGGCAGGUCUUUUCUUUUCCCUACUUCUUUUGUCUGUUCUGAGAUGUGCUGUCCAGCGGCCAGGGCUACAGGGGGCCGCUAAAUCCUCGGGGAGGGGGAAAAACCUCUCCAUUCAGCCAGGAUAAUCUGCAAAAUAACUACCGAGCGCAGAGUGAUUAUUCAGAGCCGAACCCCUCGGGCGGACAGAGGGUGAGGCUUCCAGGAUCUGCAGCUUGGAGGACACGACGCCUUGCAUGGGCGACUUUGGCACACACACACGAAUGGGAUCUCAUGGGCGAACAUCAAGAUGGAAGAAAUGCAGACGUUUUCAUGAAGGGUAAGCAAAACUGAUGGUACAACAUGAGAUUCUGUCAUACCAAGAAAGUGCUCCCCCACACACAACCCCAGCCAAUGACAGCAAAAAUAGCAUAACACCAACCCUGCAAAGGUGGGCAGCCCGUAGGGCAGGUCCACAACCAGGCACAACAUGGUUCUGUUCGGGGUCCAUCCAGAGCAAAGCAAUGACCAUUAGAUCCAUACCUCCCUGGACCCACCAAAUAAUCUUCAUUCUUUAGUAAUAAAAUAUAUUUAUUGGCUCCCAUGACAAAGCUUCCAAACAAGGAUCUGUCUUUAAUUUCAGCAAACUGGGACAUUUCCCUUACACCACGAUGAUAGGGAUUUAGGAAAGCUAUCCCUGCUCUAUGUCUUUCAUCAACUCAAGACCAAGAGGACUUUCCAUUUGGGACUUUUCCAGAAGAUACGAAAAUGGUUCUCUACAGCAUUUGGUUUCGCAAGAGUAGCCUGCAAAAGCAUCUGUUUGUCUUUUUUCACUGGGAUGCUCUCCAGAAGGGGGAGUUUUCCCUAUUCAGAGCUUUUAGCAUGUUUCCUGUAGAGAGAUUCAUUCAUUCAUUUCCUUCCACCACCCCAUGCUCCCAUUGUCAGUAUUGCCCUACAGAAUAUACAGCAUGCAUUUUUGUUUUCCUUAUUUUAACCAAAGGAUUCAAUUAAAUUUUUUUUCUACAUAAUAUUCCAUGAUUGGGUAAAUUAAAUUUAAAGCUACCCCCUCAUUAUGACUUUGCAAACAAAAACAUUAUUUCUAGGAAAAUGCAAACAUCUUGGCUUCCACCUUUUCAAUUUUGUAUCAUCAAGGAAAUUACAAGACAAUCAAAUCACUGGUAGAAAUAAAUCAAUUGGCUAUAUACUGGUAUACAUUUUUUCUAUAGGAACGUAUGGAAAUAUUGACAAUAUGAAGCCAAAAUGGGGAUAGGAACUGAACAGUAAACAUCUUCAGAUGACUGGAAAGGGACGAUGGGAACCAUCCAGAGGAACUCAAGACUGAAGAAAGUUUACUUACCCAUAACGGUCAGUCUUUGAGAGUGUCUACGAGUAGCAGUCUGCUCCCAGGCCAGGCUGAAGCAAUUGAUUAAACUUUGGCUAUCAUCCAAACACACACACACACACACACACACACACACACUUACUAUGUAAUAAUUAAAACACUUAAAUUAGCUUUGUAAGAGCUAUAGCAGAAACCCAAACAUUUGCUCCAAUAGAAAUACUAUGCAGGUAAACCCCAGAUUCCACCUUGGGUUAACACUACAGGCAGGCCUCAGACUUACGACACAAUCGGUUCCUGAAAACCACAUCGUAAGUCGAAACAUUGUAACUUGGAACUGAUUUUCCCAUAGGAAACAAUGUUAUAAAUGUGGGAUUGGUUCCUGAACCAAGGCCCGAUACCCUAUUUUCCCCAAUAAGAACCCAGAAUGUUGUACUCAAUCAAUUAUAGAUGAGUAAUAUAGCUACAUUAAUGUAUUUAUAUUGUAAACAGCAAUCAUAUUGAUUUGGAAGGACUUCUUUGAGGAGACUUUGCUGGACAUUUUGAAGGGCUCUUGGUUGGACUUUUUGAAGGGCUCUUAGCUGGAGUCUUCGCUGCAGGCUUUCCUGGAGUCUUGUCUGCUUUCUUAAAGAAAGUGUCCAAGGAAGUUUGGACAGAUGUUCUCCAGGGGGAUGGGCGAUGCAGCGAACUUGUUCACUGGCAUGGCAUCUCAUCGGAUCAAGCAUCAUAAAGUCAAAACUGAUGUCAGAAAGUUGAAACAGGGUGUCAAUUUAUAAAUGUUGUAAGUGCGAAACGUUGUAACUCGAAACCUUGUAAGUCGAGGACUGCCUAUAUUUAGGCUUAAGACCAUCAGACAUCCCAGCCAAAGCACACGCAUCUCUGCAUGUGCUAAACCAGUUCAACAAGCACCAAGUGGGAAAAGUAUUCCCCUUUCACAGAUGGUCAAAGGCUACAAAAAGUUUUUCGUGUUACAGGGGUGUAGGUUGUAGCCGCGUUGGUCUAAGGACAUAGGCAGACAAGGUUCUUUGGGUUUUUGAACCCGAAAGCUUGCUUAAUAAUUGUUUUCCAACUAUUAAAGUUGGUCUAAUAAAAGAUAUCAGAUUCACCCAAAGAACCUUGUCUACAAAAAGUUUUUGCAACUUUCCUAAUGCUUCAUCCUCUGCAAAUCCAACCUCAAAGCCAUCUUGGCAUCUAGAUCUGUGAAGACUCAUCUUACCCGGGCGACUGAGGUUUUGGAAAGAAAGGAAGGAGAUUGGUGUUCUGGUUCAGGUGGGAAGGGAACACUGCUCAGAUAAAGCACAUUACCCCG